rnacentral:lncRNA from 1 species
ACCCUGAGACCCCAGACCCACAUUAAACCCAGAGUCCUCCCCGAGUGCCCUGAGAUCCCAGAAGCAAAUUAACACCAGUGCCCAACCUGAGCGCCCUGAGAUACCAGGCCCAAAUGGGGUACAGAGCGCUCCCUGAGCGCCCUGAGACCCCAGACCCAAAUUAACCACAGAGCCCUCCCCGAGUGCCCUGAGACCCCAGACCCACAUUAAGCCCAGAGCCCUCCCCGUGUGCCCUGAGACCCCAGACCCAAAUACACACCAGAGCCCUCCCUGAGUGCCCUGAGGCUCCAGACCCAAAUUAACCCGGGAGCCCUCCCCGAGUUCCCUGAGACCCCAGACACAAAUUCACCCCAGAGCCCUCUCCGAGUGCA